rnacentral:miRNA from 1 species
GUGCUAAGUGCUGGGGAUACAAAGAGAGGCAAAAGAUGGUCUCUGUCCCCAAGGAGCUCACAGUCUAAUGGAGGGA